rnacentral:rRNA from 1 species
UACGUAGGGUGCGAGCGUUGUCCGGAAUUAUUGGGCGUAAAGAGCUUGUAGGCGGUCUGUCGCGUCUGCUGUGAAAAUCCGGGGCUCAACUCCGGAUCUGCGGUGGGUACGGGCAGACUAGAGUGAUGUAGGGGAGACUGGAAUUCCUGGUGUAGCGGUGAAAUGCGCAGAUAUCAUUUGGAACGCCAAUGGUGAAAACAGGUAGCUGGGAGUGUGCUGACGCUGAGACACGAAAGCCAGGGGAGCGAACGGG